UACGUAGGGUGCGAGCGUUAAUCGGAAUUACUGGGCGUAAAGCGUGCGUAGGCGGUUCGUUAAGUUCGUUGUGAAAGCCCCGGGCUCAACCUGGGAAUGGCAAUGGAAACUGGCGGGCUGGAGUAUGGCAGAGGGGGGUGGAAUUCCUGGUGUAGCGGUGAAAUGCGCAGAUAUCAGGAAGAACACCCGUGGCGAAGGCGGCUCUCUGGGACGGUACUGACGCUGAGACGCGAAAGCGUGGGGAGCGAACAGG
rnacentral:rRNA from 1 species